rnacentral:rRNA from 1 species
AACGAACGCUGGCGGCGUGCCUAACACAUGCAAGUCGAACGAGAAAGGGAUUUCGGUCCUGAGUAAAGUGGCGCACGGGUGAGUAACACGUAGGUAACCUACCUCUAAGUUUGGGAUAACCUGUCGAAAGAUGAGCUAAUACUGAAUAAGACCACAGUUUCCUCGGAAGCAGGGGUCAAAGGUAGCCUCUAUUUACAAGCUAUCACUUAGAGAUGGGCCUGCGUACCAUUAGCAGUUGGUGAGGUAACGGCUCACCAAGGCAAAGAUGGUUAGCUGGUCUGAGAGGAUGAUCAGCCACACUGGAACUGAGACACGGUCCAGACUCCUACGGGAGGCAGCAGUGGGGAAUAUUGCGCAAUGGGCGAAAGCCUGACGCAGCAACGCCGCGUGAGUGAUGAAGGCC